rnacentral:rRNA from 1 species
GAUGAACGCUGGCGGCGUGCCUAAUACAUGCAAGUCGAGCGAACAGACGAGGAGCUUGCUCCUCUGACGUUAGCGGCGGACGGGUGCGUAACACGUGGAUAACCUACCUAUAAGACUUGGAUACCUUCGGGAAACCGGAGCUAAUACCGGAUAAUAUUUUGAACCGCAUGGUUCCAUAGUGAAAGACGGUUUUGCUGUCACUUAUAGCUGGAUCCGCGCCGCAUUAGCUAGUUGGUAAGGUAACGGCAUACCAAGGCAACGAUGCGUAGCCGACCUGAGAGGGUGAUCGGCCAGACUGGAACUGAGACACGGUCCAGACUCCUAAGGGAGGCAGCAGUAGGGAAUCUUACGCAAUGGGCGAAAGCCUGACGGAGCAACGCCGCGUGAGUGAUGAAGGUCUUCGGAUCGUAAAACUCUGUUAUUAGGGAAGAACAAAUGUGUAAGUAACUAUGCACGUCUUGACGGUACCUAAGCAGAAAGCCACGGCUAACUACGUG